GGUUAAGCGACUAAGCGUACACGGUGGAUGCCCUGGCAGUCAGAGGCGAUGAAGGACGUGCUAAUCUGCGAUAAGCGUCGGUAAGGUGAUAUGAACCGUUAUAACCGGCGAUUUCCGAAUGGGGAAACCCAGUGUGAUUCGUCACACUAUCAUUAACUGAAUCCAUAGGUUAAUGAGGCGAACCGGGGGAACUGAAACAUCUAAGUACCCCGAGGAAAAGAAAUCAACCGAGAUUCCCCCAGUAGCGGCGAGCGAACGGGGAGCAGCCCAGAGCCUGAAUCAGUGUGUGUGUUAGUGGAAGCGUCUGGAAAGGCGCGCGAUACAGGGUGACAGCCCCGUACACAAAAAUGCACAUGCUGUGAGCUCGAUGAGUAGGGCGGGACACGUGGUAUC
rnacentral:rRNA from 1 species